GACGAACGCUGGCGGCGUGCCUAAUACAUGCAAGUCGAACGCAGUGGGGACGGGUGAGUAACACGUGGGUAACCUCCCAUCAGAGGGGAUAACACUUGGAAACAGGUGCUAAACCGAUACUGAUGGAUGGACCCGCGGUGCAUUGGCUAGUUGGUGAGGUAACGGCUCACCAAGGCCACGAUGCAUAGGCGACGUGAGAGUGUGAUAGGCGACGAUGGGACGAGGAAACGGCCAUGACUCCUACGGGAGGCAGCGUUAGGGAAUCUUCGGCAAUGGACGAAAGUCUGACCGAGCAACGCCGCGUGAGUGAAGAAGGUUUUCGGAUCGUAAAACUCUGUUGUUAGAGAAGCGGUAUCUAACCAGAAAGCCACGGCUAACUACGUGCCAGCAGCCGCGGUAAUUC
rnacentral:rRNA from 1 species